rnacentral:misc_RNA from 1 species
GAUGAAGAACGUAGCGAAAUGCGAUAAGUAAUGUGAAUUGCAGAAUUCAGUGAAUCAUCGAAUCUUUGAACGCACAUUGCGCCCCUUGGUAUUCCGAGGGGCAUGCCUGUUCGAGCGUCAUUAUAACCCCUCAAGCUCAGCUUGGUGUUGGGGCCUGCUGCACUGGCAGCCCUUAAAAUCAGUGGCGGCGCCAUCUGGCUCUAAGCGUAGUAAUUCUUCUCGCUAUGGAGUCCUGGUGGAUGCUUGCCAUCAACCCCCAAUUUUUUUCAGGUUGACCUCGGAUCAGGUAGGGAUACCCGCUGAACUUAAGCAUAUCAAUAAGCGGUGGA